rnacentral:tRNA from 1 species
AAAUCCGUCGACUUUAGAAAKCGUGAGG